UCGCAAUAGCGAUAGCGGCAAGUAGCUUUUGCGAAGGAGAUUUGGACGAAGCAAAACUACAGCCAAUAGCGCGACCUUCA
rnacentral:sRNA from 1 species